rnacentral:rRNA from 1 species
GGAGCUGUAAGUAAGCUUUGAUCCAGAGAUUUCCGAAUGGGGAAACCCAGCAUGAGUUAUGUCAUGUUAUCGAUAUGUGAAUACAUAGCAUAUCAGAAGGCACACCCGGAGAACUGAAACAUCUUAGUACCCGGAGGAAGAGAAAGAAAAUUCGAUUCCCUUAGUAGCGGCGAGCGAAACGGGAAGAGCCCAAACCAACAAGCUUGCUUGUUGGGGUUGUAGGACACUCUAUACGGAGUUACAAAGGACGACAUUAGACGAAUCAUCUGGAAAGAUGAAUCAAAGAAGGUAAUAAUCCUGUAGUCGAAAAUGUUGUCUCUCUUGAGUGGAUCCUGAGUACGACGGAGCACGUGAAAUUCCGUCGGAAUCUGGGAGGACCAUCUCCUAAGGCUAAAUACUCUCUAGUGACCGAUAGUGAACCAGUACCGUGA